rnacentral:rRNA from 1 species
AGAGUUUGAUCAUGGCUCAGAUUGAACGCUGGCGGCAGGCCUAACACAUGCAAGUCGAGCGGUAGAGAGGUGCUUGCACCUCUUGAGAGCGGCGGACGGGUGAGUAAAGCCUAGGAAUCUGCCUGGUAGUGGGGGAUAACGCUCGGAAACGGACGCUAAUACCGCAUACGUCCUACGGGAGAAAGCAGGGGACCUUCGGGCCUUGCGCUAUCAGAUGAGCCUAGGUCGGAUUAGCUAGUUGGUGAGGUAAUGGCUCACCAAGGCGACGAUCCGUAACUGGUCUGAGAGGAUGAUCAGUCACACUGGAACUGAGACACGGUCCAGACUCCUACGGGAGGCAGCAGUGGGGAAUAUUGGACAAUGGGCGAAAGCCUGAUCCAGCCAUGCCGCGUGUGUGAAGAAGGUCUUCGGAUUGUAAAGCACUUUAAGUUGGGAGGAAGGGCAUUAACCUAAUACGUUAGUGUUUUGACGUUACCGACAGAAUAAGCACCGGCUAACUCUGUGCCAGCAGCCGCGGUAAUACAGAGGGUGCAAGCGUUAAUCGGAAUUACUGGGCGUAAAGCGCGCGUAGGUGGUUCGUUAAGUUGGAUGUGAAAUCCCCGGGCUCAACCUGGGAACUGCAUUCAAAACUGUCGAGCUAGAGUAU